ACACACACAGCCCAAGUCAGGAUGAUGCAAUGUUACCUUCCCCUUCACCCAAGAAGAGGAACCGGACUGAACAGCAAACUCCAUUUCCACACUUAAAGAAUAGACAUUUCAGGGCUCCAGAAGAUUGUAGGGAUCCUCUUUUGUAAGACAGAAGGCCCAACAGUUGCAUUAUUAUUGCUCUAAUAAUGCAGGAGAAACCUUAUUUCAUUCCUAAUCAUACGGAGAUCCCGAUACUCCUCUGUUUUGGUGUUUCCAAAGAGAUUAAAGAAUUCAUUACGAGUGAUAUGGAAAGGGAUAUUUAGAGCUAUUGUUAGGUGGCCAAAACAUUUUUAAAAAGAGGUAUAGUCUGAUCCCACUUUUGAACAAUAACAAAUGACUCUCCCCAUGCAUUUUAUUUUUCUGUUCUCAUUAUUUAAUCUAAAUAUUUCAGUGGCAAACACUUGAUUUUGUUCCAUUAAUGCUGAAACGUAAGCAUGAAGACAGACUAAAAACAAGCAUUCUUGGAAUAAGGGAGUCAGUCACAACAAAUCAUUAGGCAUUUUUUUUUUUAAACAAUUUUUUCAGUAUGUUCAGCCAUGAACUGAAAUAGACUCACCAGAGUCCAGACCUAUAUAUCUCUCCGGACCUAUAUAUAUCUGUAAUUCCAAGGAUUAGUUUAAAUUUUAAUUCCAGUGUAUUACAGUUUCAGGUAUAUAAUAUAGUGAUUCAACAAUUCCAUGUAUUACUCAGCUGCUCAUCAAGCUGUGAUUCUUCUUUAUCUGUUUGUAAAGGGUGUCACCGAUGUCCUCCACUCUUUUCUCAAGUCCAGGCAGGAAUCACUUUGGAGUGGUGUUGGUCCCUGUCCAGGCUGCUAGCACACUUUUCCAGGCUUGUGGCUUCAGUUUGAAUGGGCUUUGGCCAAGAGCACAUUGGAGGAGGCGGAUCUACAAUGUGCUUGGGAGUGAGAUGUGCAGAGCCCUCAAGGUUUGCACACGGAGAGAGGGGAUGUGCUGCUACCUCUCGGACCACAGUGGCUGGGCCAAUCCACAAAGCAUACAAGUGUAGGGCGAGCACUUUUACCAACGUGGACUUAGGUUUGCUGUGAAAGACCCACCACCACCACAGGGCCAGCCCAUGUGGAUCUGCAAAGAGUGGGUGGGCAGGCACACAGUUUUAGCAAGGUGUGUGCCCAUCUUUCACAAGAGGGUACUUGCUGCCACCACCAUUGCCAAGGCCCCACAAAGUGCAUAGUUAGCAGAAUUCGAGGUUUUCUGGGGGAGGGGAUCCAUAGCACACGGACUGAGGCACGCCCAGCUGGGGUGGGCAAAUCCCCAGAGCUAUGGGGCGGGGGGUGGAGUGGGGAGGCAGAGAGUAGUAUAAGCAAGUUAGGUCACAAGUGUGGGUGCUAAACUGGUUUCUGCAGGUGGCUUCAGGUAGCUAUGUGUUUAUGUUGGGGGGCAGGGGAGGGAAAUGGCACCUACUAGCUCCUUUGGUCCUGAAGGAGACUCCCUGUGAAUACGACCCCUCCAGGGUAGUAGAGAUGAAUAACUCUUCCUCCCUAUACCCCAGGCAUUUUUCAAAUUGCUCCUUCUAUGUUGUAUCUCCACAGGCUGUUUCUUGUGCUGUCUCUUUAAGGGCAGGGACUCAAGUUUUCUCUCAGUGGCCAGGUUCUCCCAGAACCCAACCUGCUGAUUUUUAAAGUUGCAGGCUUUAAAUUCUGCUGAUUGUAAGAACUCACUAAAGUUCACCCCCUCUAGUUUUCAAAGCCAAAUAUUAUGGAGAUUCAUCUAACCCCACGUGGGCUCCCCAAUGUGUUAGCCUUCUUCUUCCCCUUCUCCACACCCGUGGUCCAUUUAGCUCCCCAGCAUGUCUCCACCCUUCCUACCCUCUUCGAUGUGGCAUCUUUUCUACUGUUAGUUGAGGAGUUUGUUCUGCCAGCCUUCGGGUCAUUUCCUGGGUUAGUUACACUGACGUGAGUGUUAUCUAGUUGUAUCUAUGGGAUGAGGUGAGCUUAGGGUCCUCAUAUUCUGCCACCUUCUCAGCCUAUAUAUCUCCACAUGCAUUUUAAAUAUAUCCAUUCAGGGGCGCCUGGGUGGCUCAGUCGUUAAGCGUCUGCCUUCGGCUCAG